GUGGGGAAUAUUGGGCAAUGGAGGGAACUCUGACCCAGCAACGCCGCGUGAGUGAAGAAGGUUUUCGGAUUGUAAAACUCUUUAAGCGGGGACGAAGAAAGUGACUGUACCCGCAGAAUAAGCAUCGGCUAACUACGUGCCAGCAGCCGCGGUAAUACGUAGGAUGCAAGCGUUAUCCGGAAUGACUGGGCGUAAAGGGUGCGUAGGUGGUUUGCCAAGUUGGCAGCGUAAUUCCGGGGCUUAACCCCGGAACUACUGCCAAAACUGGCAGGCUUGAGUGCGGCAGGGGUAUGUGGAAUUCCUAGUGUAGCGGUGGAAUGCGUAGAUAUUAGGAGGAACACCAGUGGCGAAAGCGACAUACUGGGCCGUAACUGACACUGAAGCACGAAAGCGUGGGUAGCAAACAGG
rnacentral:rRNA from 1 species